GUGAAGAAAGCAAAGAAAGCUCUCCUGAUCAAUUACAGAAAAAAUAGUUCUUUGGCUUGGCUAUCAUACUCAAUAAAGCUUAUUUGCUUGCCUCUUCCAACUUCACCACUGGCGUAUUUAAGGUUGGUGGUCUAUCAUUACUCUAAUUACUUCCAUAUUGUAUUUGUAUAUCUUUUCAUCCAAGCAACUUCCUUUUAGUUUCCUGGGAGUUUGCAUGUUUUCCUGUUUAAUUGUAUCUCUUAUCGGGAAACUGGUGUAUUAAAUAAGUCACCGAACCAACAUAUAUUUGUACCUUUUUCAAGUAACAUGACAUUGCCAAGGCUCAGAGAAAGUACCACCCAUGUAGAGAAGAGAUUCAUGAAAGAUAGUUAGUUCAGACCUUUGACCAAAAUAGUAAGAUCUGGAACCAACAGUAUACAGGCUUCUUCUUUUUUCCUUUAUCCAAAUAAUUCGGAUAAUAGCGAAGGAAUGUGGGGUGCAAGCUUCUUCCUAGCUUUGCAUAAUGGAAUCUUACACUUUCAACUCUUCUGUAUAAUCCACACAACUGAGGUUAGGAAGACUGAGUGCUGAAUCCUGAUAUGUUGUUUUUAUGAUUGAGUUUAAUAAACACCUCGUUGAAAUCUAUAUUUCAUGAGUUUAAAAGUUAACACCAGGCAAAACACGGUCGGUUAACUAGAGUUUUAAAUUACUUCAUUUUUAUAAUGCAGGAACAAUCAAUCUCCAGAGCUUGAAGGAUGUACAGGAACUCAUUUACUCGUUGUGGCUGGGAUAAAAAAAUGUGGAGUGCGUUUUUGGUUAAGUGGCAUUGUUGGUUCCCUAAAAUAACCUUACUUGCCAAAAAGAGAAGUUUGCCAUUAAAUUCGUUUAUGGCAUGGCACACACUGGCCGAUCCUAAAGCUGCAGAUGAGAUUUGAAGUACUCAGCAUUAGUAUAAUAAAUAUCUAUCGUAUGCAAUAUUUAUAUCAACAGGACACUGCAUAUAGAUAUACUGUUGGGCUGCAUCAUAAGGGAGGAGGGAGUAAGUGGGAAUUUGAGUCAGUAGGAUAAUUUGAAAUUUAUUUUGAAAUUUUAGUGAUCAUGAAAAACUUAUGACUUGUGCUUGUAAGAAAAAUAGUUUCGGAACUAAAAGUUUAGUCAUAAAAAU
rnacentral:lncRNA from 1 species